rnacentral:misc_RNA from 1 species
AAAAAAAAAGGAAAAACAUUUCGAUUUCGAUACUUUUCUGGUUCGAUUCUUAGUAAAAAACCAAAAUCAAACUAAAGUAUCAAAAUAAUUUCGGUUCGGUAUAGUUUCUAUUAGUUCGGUAUGGUUAUUUAGUUCGGUUUGGGACCCCUUAGAACCAUGCACAGCCCUAGUUAGUAGGGCUUGAAAGGACAAAGUACUCUAAUUGGUUUUAUAUGAAAGCAGUAAAGACUUUUACUGUAACUAGUAUGGUUUAUUUGCACCUUUUGGCAUCCGAGUAAUGAACAAGAUGAAUGGAGGUUAAGUCUAAUAAGAAGUGCUGACGUGUACUUAGGACAGCAUAAUUUGAAACCAGAAUAUGAUGUGUAAACGGUGAAUAAUAAUAAGUUUUAGCUUAAAACUAUAUAAAAAAAUCGUGGAUAAUGAUGUUUAACGUGGAUAUAUGUUAUUUGUUGCUGGUGUAUUGCAAGAUUAGCAUUCUCUGUAUUUGAGGAUGCCAUUGUGAUUGAAAGGCUUAUUCAGAAUUUUUGGCAUUCCAUAUAUCAUUGGAACAAAAUGUUGAUGCAAUUUCAUGUAUCUUCUCCUCUCCGCCAAUCUAAUGCUUGAAAAAAUAUAGUAUUUGGGCAUAUGUUGUAUAGGAGGAAAUAUUUUAGCUUUCUUUAGAAUUUUUUUUUUCUCUUUCACAAAUUUUAUGCAACUUGAUCUUGAAAACUUGAGAUUGUGGCUACAACUGCUGAUCUGAGCUGGUAAUGGGAUAGUGAAUUAUUGCGUUGGAGUUUGGCAAAUGACUCGAAGUUGAUCACUGAUUAGGAUCAGUUCUUAAUUGCUAUUUCUCGUACUUGACUGAUGCUCAUCUUGACUUUUGUUGCUAUUAAUUAAUCACCUUUUUUGUAAUGUUUGAUAUUAUCUUCAGAGUUUUGAAGCUCUGAAUCAACGGGCUGUGGCAGUUGUGGUGGAUCCAAUUCAGAGCGUUAAAGGGAAAGUGGUGAUAGAUGCUUUUCGCUUGAUUAACCCACAGACAAUGAUGCUUGGCCAAGAACCACGGCAGACAACUUCCAACCUUGGCCAUCUGAAUAAGCCAUCCAUUCAGGCAUUGAUACACGGAUUGAACAGGCACUAUUACUCAAUAGCCAUUAAUUAUAGAAAGAAUGAACUGGAGGAAAAAAUGCUUCUUAACCUGCACAAAAAGAAAUGGACAGAUGGAUUGACACUCAAGCGGUUUGAUACUCAUUCUAAAACCAAUGAACAGACUGUUCAGGUGAGUGAGUGUUACAAAGUUCAAGCUAACUAUUUUCAUGCUGGAUUUUGACUCUAAUUAAUGGCCCUAAUGAUAUCUAAUGUCCAAAUUCAGUGAUCCUAGUUAUGUGGAGGCAAAAAAUGUAAAAAUAAAUGGAACAUUCAUGCGACACAAGCUGCAAGGUCAGCUUGUUCACUAAACAAGGGAGCUUGAUGGAAAUCUGAAUCUUAAAUCUGACUUCUUUGAUGGUCACAAGAUUGUCUGCCAUCCAACAUUUUAAGCUGAUUUAGUUAUUAUUGUUGAAUGGGUUCUCUCCCUAAUGGGCCUAGCAGAACCACUCGAUAACUUAAUUCUGCAAUUUGUGACUCGAUAUCAUAUGGGCUAUGCCGAUUUCAUUAUUCUUGUCUGAUGGAUAUCAAGGCAAGCAUGAUAAUAUUUUCUUAGUAGACUAAGUGAUGUGAUCUUGGUUUGUCUUGGAAUGACCAGGAGAUGCUGAACUUAGCUAUUAAAUACAACAAGGCAGUGCAAGAGGAAGAUGAGCUGCCACCUGAGAAGCUAGCAAUUGCGAAUGUUGGAAGGCAAGAUGCAAAGAAGCACCUUGAAGAACAUGUGUCUAACUUGAUGUCUUCCAACAUAGUCCAGACUUUGGGUACUAUGCUCGACACAGUUGUGUUCUAGAGCAACAUUUUUUACUUUCCUUUCGGUAUUUUAUGUUUCAAGUAGAACAAUCUUGGAUUUUAUAUUUUAAUUUGCAUUUAUAUCGGUUCUUUAUUGUCGUGAUACUGGACUUUGUUUUGGAUUCCUGUUUGCAUAUCGGUUAUUAAGGAAACAAUUUAAUUGUUUUAACGGCACAAAUAUCUAAUCUCUUUGUGAAACAGAGCUGCCGUUUGAUCUUUGCAUUUGUGAGUUAACUAUGGCAAUACUUUAAUGGAAUUUCAGAAUUAACUUGAAAGAC